rnacentral:lncRNA from 1 species
AAAAACAGAACCAACUAGCUUUUCUUCCAUCUCUAGCUGAAAGAUUCGGGUUUUCUGUUUUAUCUUUUCUCCGUUUUCUGUCCGAAGAUAUUCUACAAAGCUAACUUAUGGGUCGGGAGCGAGUCAAAACCCAUACCAAUUUUCAACUCAGGAAGGUGAGCUUUCGACUAAUAAGCUUUUACACUUUUUUUUUUUCGUUUAAUUUUCUCUUAUAUGUUAUAUGGUGUUUGCUUCUGCGUUUUUAUAUGUAAAAGACCAAAGAUUUGUUUGGUUAUUCUAUAAUAAAAGAGGUGGCCAAUUCUGACGUACGGUUGUUAUCUUGUUUGACUGACAGUGUGGUAAGAGAAGUUUAGUUGUGGUGGAUGAUAAUGAUCGAAUAAGUCAGUUGCCUAACGAUAUUCUGGUUGAUAUACUAUCUUUGCUGC